AGAGUUUGAUCCUGGCUCAGGAUGAACGCUAGCGACAGGCUUAACACAUGCAAGUCGAGGGGCAGCGGUGGAGAGAGCUUGCUCUCUCCAGCCGGCGACCGGCGCACGGGUGAGUAACACGUAUGCAACCUGCCCUUGACACUGGGAUAACCCGGAGAAAUCCGGACUAAUACCGGGCGACACCUUCGGAGGCCAUCCUCCUUAGGUCGAAGGAAGCGAUUCCGGUCAAGGAUGGGCAUGCGGCGCAUUAGCUAGUUGGCGGGGUAACGGCCCACCAAGGCGACGAUGCGUAGGGGUUCUGAGAGGAAGGUCCCCCACAUUGGUACUGAGACACGGACCAAACUCCUACGGGAGGCAGCAGUGAGGAAUAUUGGUCAAUGGGCGCGAGCCUGAACCAGCCAAGUCGCGUGAGGGAAGACGGCCCUACGGGUUGUAAACCUCUUUUGUCGGGGAGCAAGGACUGCCACGAGUGGCAGGGCGAGAGUACCCGAAGAAAAAGCAUCGGCUAACUCCGUGCCAGCAGCCGCGGUAAUACGGAGGAUGCGAGCGUUAUCCGGAUUUAUUGGGUUUAAAGGGUGCGUAGGCGGAAGUUCAAGUCAGCGGUAAAAUCGAGGGGCUCAACCCCUUUAAGCCGUUGAAACUGGGUUUCUUGAGUGGGCGAGAAGUGUGCGGAAUGUGUGGUGUAGCGGUGAAAUGCAUAGAUAUCACACAGAACUCCGAUUGCGAAGGCAGCACACCGGCGCCCGACUGACGCUGAGGCACGAAAGCGUGGGGAUCAAACAGGAUUAGAUACCCUGGUAGUCCACGCAGUAAACGAUGAACACUAGGUGUGCGGGUCGAAUGAGAUCUGCGUGCCACAGCGAAAGCGUUAAGUGUUCCACCUGGGGAGUACGCCGGCAACGGUGAAACUCAAAGGAAUUGACGGGGGCC
rnacentral:rRNA from 1 species